GCAGACAUGAACCACUGGCUGAGAAACAUCCUGAUUCUGACUCUCUGGCUAGAGUGUAAAGGAGAAGACAGAGUGACCCAGCCAGCAGGAGAUGUCAUUGCUGCUGAAGGAGACACAGUUACACUUGACUGUACUUUUGAGACGAGUAGAACAGGUCCAACUUUGUUCUGGUACAAACAGGAUGGAGACAACAGCCCCAAAUUCAUACUGAGCCGCGUUCAACAGGAUGAUGGGAAAACAGAGGAAGAGUUUAAACAAAGAUUUUCAUCCACACUGAAUUCCACCUCAAGAUCAGUUCCUCUGAAGAUCCAGAAGCUUCAGCUGUCUGACUCUGCUGUAAUGCGGCAGCUCCAGAGAUGGAAGCACCUAAAUCAGCCCUUGGAAGAGUCUAGAAAGGACGUGACUGCCCCAUUGUGGGAGUGA